AAGCUAAGAGUGCAGGUGUAUUAUCACCGUUUAUUUCUAUAAUUUGCGAUUUGAAAAUCUAUUGCUGGUGGACAGUGCUUGAAGUGGGGGAAAAAGGUGCCGGUGCUCUCUUUCAUUUGCAUGUCAUUACAUUUGAGAUUUUUACAGUGUCUAGCUCUGGCACCAGCGUUAUUUUAUUGCCUUUCUGAAGCCAGGCUAACAUGACUUAAAAUUUCAUAUUCGACACACUUUUUCUAAGUUUCUAGGUUUUGGAUUUCACCAGUGAAAAAUAUGUUUACGCUCAGGCGGAAGCCGCAGCCAUCAGAUAGGGUGAACCGACCAUAGACAUCCUAUUUAAAGGCUAGACGUCUCAUGGCGCACUCACUUCCGGCAUCACCGGUGGCCAUCUUAUCACAGGCAGGCUUCCUGUCGGGCUCUGUGGUACCUAAUAUAAGGUUCAGCCAGGACCACUUGGAGCUUCUCUUCAACUCCAUCAGAGUAUCUGAGGCAAUGUGACGGCACAGGAUGACACAGAGUCCCUACCAGUUGUCAUCGACACCUCUACAAGCCUGUCAGCUGUAGAUGUGUCCUCUGCAGCAGGAGGAGAAGAUCUUCCAUCCCCGUUUGCUGACAUUCCUGCCCUAGUACAUGAUCACAGCUACCUUCCCGUCCACUUCGAUGGUCUUGUGGACAACGCUCUCAUGUACAUUUCAGGCUCUGAAGAAGCUGUCGUGUGAUGUCUGCCGUGCAAGCCUGGUGACAUGCUGCAUCUGCCAUCAAGGACCAGAGCUACCACAUGCUGAAUUUAAAAACAAUGGAGCUCUGGUGAUUCCAUCAGAGGGAACCAUGAGUUUCAUCAGGGCAGCAGAGUGGGUCAUUCGGCAGUCAUCAGGCAGUACCAGAUGAUCACAGCCCAUCAAACUGCUUGAGGUUGUUUACAUUGUCUGAAAAAGGAUCGGUUCAGAGGAUGUUUGUGUUGGGAUAGACAUCCACCACCAUAGGCUGUUAAAAAUAAUUCUGUCCCUGUUUUUUAAGUUAAGGCUGCACCACAUCGCCAGAAUUACAAUCCUCAGCUUACAGAGCAACAACAUGUGACAGAAAUUUAAUAAAACUGUCCUUUUCAAAGGGCAUUAGCCCAAGGUAUGUGUUUUCAAGGUACUGUCCUCUUUUACUUCAACAGUAGUGUAGUGCUCUCUACAGCAUUUAUUUAUUUGUGUAUAUUUAAAUGAUUUAUUUAUAUUGUAAAGGGGAAUCAUGUACCUAUUUUUUGUGUGCAAAUAAAUGUCACUC
ensembl:lncRNA